GAUGAACGCUGGCGGCGUGCCUAAUACAUGCAAGUCGAGCGAACAGACGAGGAGCUUGCUCCUCUGACGUUAGCGGCGGACGGGUGAGUAACACGUGGAUAACCUACCUAUAAGACUGGGAUAACUUCGGGAAACCGGAGCUAAUACCGGAUAAUAUAUUGAACCGCAUGGUUCAAUAGUGAAAGACGGUUUUGCCGUCACUUAUAGAUGGAUCCGCGCCGCAUUAGCUAGUUGGUAAGGUAACGGCUUACCAAGGCAACGAUGCGUAGCCGACCUGGGAGGGUGAUCGGCCACACUGGAACUGAGACACGGUCCAGACUCCUACGGGAGGCAGCAGUAGGGAAUCUUCCGCAAUGGGCGAAAGCCUGACGGAGCAACGCCGCGUGAGUGAUGAAGGUCUUCGGAUCGUAAAACUCUGUUAUUAGGGAAGAACAAAUGUGUAAGUAACUAUGCACGUCUUGACGGUACCUAAUCAGAAAGCCACGGCUAACUACGUG
rnacentral:rRNA from 1 species